GGGCGCUUAGCUCAGUGGGAGAGCACUUGCUUCACACGCAAGGGGUCGUUGGUUCAAUCCCAACAGCGCCCA
rnacentral:tRNA from 1 species